ACGACGUGGUGAACUUUUAAAAACGGAUUCAGUAGUACCAAAAUACUCAUAAUGUGCAGACAGACAAAAGAACUGGAAGGAGUCGUGUUUUCAGACACAGGAAGCUUUUCACGUGCUCCACCUGGACCUCAUCUCUCAGCCUCACACUCCGAUCUUCAGCAGCCCCCGCUAUGCGCCCGAGUCUUGGGACGUCAUCCCGGAGCUCCUAGCCUGCCCGGGAGGCAGAGCCAUCAGGUGUCUAUCUUUUAGAUUCUCCUCUUGGCCCCUUAUCCCAACUAAACACAUCACCACUGAGGACCUGUCCAGGGGUUUAGCUCCUGAUGAAGAGACAGAGAAAAGGUCAGAGAAAGGAAGGGUGACGCUCCAUCCAAGAUGACUACAGCGCUAUGAUUUCCAGAUGGGGAAGGUCACGGAUGCUGGACGCAACAGAAUCUCAACAGGGACCCGAGAGAGAGAGGCUCCUCUCUCCCUACACUAAUAUCCCACGAUCCCUGUGUCACUUUCCAGAACACACUGUCAGUUCCAUGGACCUAGGAUUAUAAAAUCCUGUAAGAUUUAUACAGAAAAUAUAAAAAUCUGGGGAGGGGGAACUGUGAAACAAUGUGAAAAAAACUAUUUGUCAAAUGGACAGUGGGGAAUAACUUCUCCUCCCGCACCUCCUCCAAGCUUCUAACAACACUCAUGGCACACAAUACAGAGGAGACUGCCAUAAAAAUGACUUAAAAUGUGCCCUUUUGAGGUAAAGUAACUAUGGGACAAGUGACUAUAAAAAUGACACAGCUGG
rnacentral:lncRNA from 10 species